CAGCAGCCGCGGGAAUACGUAGGGUGCGAGCGUUAAUCGGAAUUACUGGGUGUAAAGCGUGCGCAGGCGGUUAUAUAAGACAGAUGUGAAAUCCCCGGGCUCAACCUGGGACCUGCAUUUGUGACUGUAUGGCUAGAGUACGGUAGAGGGGGAUGGAAUUCCGCGUGUAGCAGUGAAAUGCGUAGAUAUGCGGAGGAACACCGAUGGCGAAGGCAAUCCCCUGGACCUGUACUGACGCUCAUGCACGAAAGCGUGGGGAGCAAACAGGAUUAGAUACCCCCGUAGUCCCUGUCUUUUAUAA
rnacentral:rRNA from 1 species